UACGUAGGGUGCGAGCGUUGUCCGGAUUUAUUGGGCGUAAAGGGCUCGUAGGCGGCUUGUCGCGUCGGGAGUGAAAGCCCGCUGCUUAACGGCGGGUUGGCUUUCGGUACGGGCAGGCUGGAGUGCGGCAGGGGAGACUGGAAUUCCUGGUGUAGCGGUGGAAUGCGCAGAUAUCAGGAGGAACACCGGUGGCGAAGGCGGGUCUCUGGGCAGUAACUGACGCUGAGGAGCGAAAGCGUGGGGAGCGAACAGG
rnacentral:rRNA from 1 species